ACCUGUUUUGUUGGUGGUCAUUUAACCAUGCUUCCAUCGACGAUGGGGGUGCAUGGAUUAUUAUGGCACCGAGUGUGAUGCCAUGAACCCAUCAUGGUCAUGCAUGCUGUGUGCAUGGUUAGAUGACCAUCAGCAAACAUGUU
rnacentral:pre_miRNA from 1 species